rnacentral:lncRNA from 1 species
CUCAAUAUAACAUCAACAAUAGCAAUAGCUAUAGUAGUUGAACUGGGGUUUAUUCCUUAAUAUAACAUCCCUUGCCAGUUCAAACCGGUAAUAGAUCCAUAUCCCAAUCAUAUCUAAAUUAAUAGUUCUAAUGGCACCUCGAUCAUUUUGUGGUAUGAGUCAAGAGCACAGUGCAUUACCUCGGGCGGAGGCAGACCUUGAUCGAUCGUUGCUUUGGGCCGGUCGGUCGACACCGGUCUCCAAGAGGAGGGCUGUUGCCAAGCUCGAUCGAGGCUUGAGGGCUGCUCAGUCGGCGCUGGAGAGGGGGGAGGAGGAGGAGAUCCUCGGGCAGAGGCGAAGCUUGAAACUAGAAAUAGUGUGCAUAGAUCACAAAUUAAAGAAAAAAAACAACUACGAACACACGAAGAAGAGAAAGAGGAGAAGGAGGAGAACAAGCGAGAAGGAUAAAGAGAAGAGAGGAGGAGAAAAAUACCUCGAGCGAAGGAGGUUGGGGUUGGUCGGUCGGCACCGAAGAGGAGGAAGGAGGAGAGGAGGAUGGGAUCGGAUGAUCAGCGUUGGAGUGGAGGAAGACAGGGGCUAGAGCUGCGCAGCGCCAGAGAGGAGAAAAAAGGGAGUAAUUAGGGCAGAAUGAGGGCUUGGGGUCGGGCGUUGGGUUUGGAGUGGGGUCUUGGCCUUCGAUGACGCUUAUAAACGUCGUCUUAGGUUUUGGCCUCCGACAACGUUUAAAAGCAUUGUCUUAGGCCGGAGGACAACAAUAAUGCUUAAAAGCGUCGUCCCAAGCCCACUCCCCACUUUUCUCUUGAAGUGUUGCAAAAUUUAGGGCAAGAGUUAAUUUUACCGCAUGCCCCAAGCGUCAGCAUUGAUGAGUCAGCUUUUUUUUUUCUGUUUCCUGUACUGGCUCUCUCCCAGGCCGAGAACACAGAAGCCGAAACUCUUCUUCCAGGCGGGUGUUUUCCCUUCUUCCGGCGGCACGAGAUCCCCCCGACUGGCCGAAGGCGAGCAAGGAGAGGAGCGCUGCCGCUUCACCCAAGCGCCCCGUCGCCGCUCCGCCAUCCCGCGCCGCCGCGCACUCCCACUUCGUCGAGGAUGUGGUCCUCUCCUCCGACGGCCCGUUCGCCCUCUCCAGUUCCUGGGACGGCGAGAUCCGCCUCUAGGACCUCUCCACCGGUGCCACCACCCGCCGCUUCGUCGGCCACAG